rnacentral:rRNA from 1 species
UACGUAGGGGGCAAGCGUUGUCCGGAAUCAUUGGGCGUAAAGCGCGUGUAGGCGGCCCGAAAAGUCUGGUGUGAAAUCUUGAGGCUCAACCUCAAGCUGUCACUGGAUACUGUCGGGCUUGAGUCCGGAAGAGGAGUGUGGAAUUCCUGGUGUAGCGGUGGAAUGCGCAGAUAUCAGGAGGAACACCAAUGGCGAAGGCAGCACUCUGGUACGUGACUGACGCUGAGACGCGAAAGCGUGGGGAGCAAACAGG